rnacentral:rRNA from 1 species
UUCGGGAUGCCGGCGAGUGGCAAACGGGUGAGUAACGCGUGGAUACCUGUCCUAUGGUGGGGAAUAACGUUUAGAAAUGAACGCUAAUACCGCAUAAGCCCUACGGGGGAAAGAUUUAUCGCCAUAGGAGGGGUCUGCGCCGGAUUAGCUAGUUGGUGGGGUAAAGGCCUACCAAGGCGACGAUCCGUAGCUGGUCUGAGAGGAUGAUCAGCCACACUGGGACUGAGACACGGCCCAGACUCCUACGGGAGGCAGCAGUGGGGAAUAUUGCGCAAUGGGGGAAACCCUGACGCAGCGACGCCGCGUGGGUGAAGAAGGCCUUAGGGUUGUAAAGCCCUUUCAGCAGGAAAGAUUGUGACGGUACCUGCAGAAGAAGCUCCGGCUAACUCCGUGCAGCAGCCGCGGUAAUACGGAGGGAGCUAGCGUUGUUCGGAAUUACUGGGCGUAAAGGGCGCGUAGGCGGUUUGACAAG